GUGAGGAAUAUUGGACAAUGGGCGCAAGCCUGAUCCAGCCAUGCCGCGUGCAGGAAGACGCAUCUAUGGUGUGUAAACUGCUUUUGUACGGGAAGAAACACUCCCUCGUGAGGGAGCUUGACGGUACCGUAAGAAUAAGGAUCGGCUAACUCCGUGCCAGCAGCCGCGGUAAUACGGAGGAUCCAAGCGUUAUCCGGAAUCAUUGGGUUUAAAGGGUCCGUAGGCGGUUUAAUAAGUCAGUGGUGAAAGCCCAUCGCUCAACGAUGGAACGGCCAUUGAUACUGUUAGACUUGAAUUACAAGGAAGUAACUAGAAUAUGUAGUGUAGCGGUGAAAUGCUUAGAUAUUACAUGGAAUACCAAUUGCGAAGGCAGGUUACUACUUGUGGAUUGACGCUGAUGGACGAAAGCGUGGGGAGCGAACAGGAUUAGAUACCCCUAGUAGUCC
rnacentral:rRNA from 1 species